UAUAAGAACUAUACUCUUGAAACUUGGUAAGCAGAUGUAUUUUGUGAACCGCAUUAAGAUUCUCACACAAAAAUAGAAAAAAAAACAAUAAAUUUUGGGGGUUCCCCAUACUUAGAACUGAAACUAAAAAAAAAUUUUUUCAUCAAACCCAUACGUUUCUAAUAUCAUUUUUUUCUAAACUGAAUAGUUUGCGCGAGAGACACUUCCAAAGUGGUAAAAUAUGCCCCGCCCCCCCUGUAACUUCUAAAAUAAUAUAAUGAUAAAUCUAAAAAAAAUAUAUGAUGUACAUUACCAUGCAAACUUCCACUGAAAAUUGGUUUGUGCGAGAUCUAGUAAGUAGUUUUUUUUAAUACGUCAUAAA